rnacentral:rRNA from 1 species
UACGUAGGUGGCAAGCGUUGUCCGGAAUUAUUGGGCGUAAAGCGCGUGUAGGCGGCUUGUUACGUCGGGUGUGAAAGCCCGGGGCUCAACCCCGGCAGUGCACCCGAAACGGGGAAGCUAGAGUACUGGAGAGGCGAGUGGAAUUCCCGGUGUAGAGGUGAAAUUCGUAGAUAUCGGGAGGAACACCGGUGGCGGAAGCGACUCGCUGGGCAGGUUACUGACGCUGAGACGCGAAAGCGUGGGGAGCAAACAGG